GGCAAAUGAACAAUGGUGCAUUAAAUAAAUGUUUAAAAGGUGAACUGAUGUCUUGUAAUGGCACUAUAAAUGCAAAAGUGCAUAGAUAACAAUGUAAUACUACAACAUUCAAAUAAAUGAUAAAAACACAUAGUUAUUACACUAUGACAGUGGACUUUAUGCAGUAAAGAGUGGGUUGUGAUGACUUUAGAACCAACAAGAAAGGUGUAUUAAAUCUGCAGUACAGACAAGUUGUACAUUGAUUCCAACACACCUGUCAAAAUCUAGUUUUCCAUUUGUUAAUUAAGCACAAUGCACUCACUGUUUGGUGAUUAUACACCCGUGUUUAACAGAAUGUAAUUGUUAAUCUAUAAUAUAUUGUGUUAAGGUCACUUUAUCCAUUAAAGCAAUGAAGUGGUUACGUACUUCAUCAAUCCAUUAUAUUUCUCUAUCAAGGAGAAUGUGAUGACACUGGGGGUGUAAGGUAAAGAGAUAUAAAGUAACAAAGAAGGCCAGUCUUUUUAAAUCCUGCAACUCAUCAUUUCGCUUCCUGUGAUUCUGAAAGUGGUCAACUGAGCAUCGUAACCAUUACAGCUCUUUGUGAUGUUAUGGUGCAAAGCAUCUCUAAGGGCUGUCCUUGUGCUUUAGAUCAAACCCCUUUCGACAAAAAUAGGGUUCUCCUGGUGCCAACAGCCAGAACAGGCUGCUGUUUGACUAAUGCAGUAGAAAACUCUUAUAUUAGCCUAUCCAACCUUGGGUGGCCUAGUUUAGCCCAGUGCCCUCAGACUACCAACACAUAAUUUGGACAAUUUAAUGUGGACUUCAACUUCUAAAUCAACCAUCUAGUAGCAGAGGGGUGAGGCGCUAGGAACCAGGAGAGUGACAGUUUCUGUCAUACCACUUACAAACCGUUUAAGUAAAUUAGGGAGAUGGCGUCACAGACUCUGCACAGUAAUUAUUACAGUGAGCUGUAGUGGUUAUGGUACUUACAGGGUUUGUUGUGAGGCUCCUCCAAUAUGCAUGUUCUGUUAAUAUUGAUUGAUCCAAGAGCAUUGAGCAGAGAGGUACAUCAAAUUACUCCCAUUAGGAAAGAGUAUAUUUGUUUAAUGUCUUUCAUUUACACAUGUAUAAGACAAAAAACAAAAAGGGAGUGUGCAAUGCUCACCUCCAGUAAUCGGUCAUUUUUUUAAUGGAAGCAAAAUAGCUUGAUUCAGUUGUUUAGACUUUUUAGCAUUGCUUGUUAAGUUCUUAUUUUCUCCUUUCUCUACACUCUUCUAUUUUAAAU